CCCUUAGAUGUUCUGAACCGCACGCGUGUUACACUGAUGCAUUCAACGAGCUUUACCUUGGCCGAGAGGCCUGGGAAAUCUUUUUAGCAUGCAUCGUGAUAGGGAUUGAUUAUUGCAAUUAUUAAUCAUGAACGAGGAAUUCCUAGUAAACGCAUUUCAUCAAAAUGCAUUGAUUACGUCCCUGCCCUUUGUACACACCGCCCGUCGCACCUACCGAUUGAGUGGUCCGGUGAAGUCUCGAGAUUGUGGCAAUCUCCUUUAUUGGAGUUUGACUGCGAGAACUUGCCUAAACCUUAUCACUUAGAGGAAGGUGGAGUCGUAACA
rnacentral:rRNA from 1 species